GAUGAAGAACGCAGCGAAAUGCGAUACGUAAUGUGAAUUGCAGAAUUCAGUGAAUCAUCGAAUCUUUGAACGCAUAUUGCGCUCUCUGGUAUUCCGGAGAGCAUGCUUGUUUGAGUAUCAGUAAACACCUCAACUUCCAUAUCUUUUUUGAAAUGGGAGUUGGACUUGAGUGAUCCCAACGCUUUUCCUCACCGAAAAGUGGCGGGUUACUUGAAAUGCAGGUGCAGCUGGACUUUUCUCUGAGCUAUAAGCAUAUCUAUUUAGUCUGCCUAAAAAACAGAUUAUUCCCUUUGCUGCAGCUAACAUAAAGGAGAUUAGUUCUUGUGCUGACUGAUGCAGGAUUCACAAAGACAGGCUUCGGCCGACUUUGUAAACUCGAUCUCAAAUCAAGUAAGCCUACCCGCUGAACUUAAGCAUAUCAAUAAGCGGAGGA
rnacentral:misc_RNA from 1 species